rnacentral:rRNA from 1 species
GCAUGGUUGUCGUCAGCUCGUGCCGUCGAGGUGUCGGGUUAAGGUCCCACUAACGAGCGCAACCCCUACCCUUUACGUUGCCAUCAGGUAAUGCUGGGGACGUCUAAAGGAACUGCCUACGCAAGUAGUGAGGAAGGCGGGGAGUGACGUCAAAUCAGCACGGCCCUUACGUCCAGGGCUACACACGUGCUACAAUGGCCGAUACAGAGGGCAGCUACCUGGUGACAGGAUGCAAAUCUCCAAAGUCGGUCUCAGUUCGGAUCGGAGUCUGCAACCCGACUCCGUGAAGUUGGAUUCGCUAGUAAUCGCGCAUCAGCCAUGGCGCGGUGAAUACGUUCCCGGGCCUU